CUUCUGUGCCCAGGAGACAGCUGGCUUCCCAAGAUCCAGCCAGUCAAGCAGCACUGAUUUUCCCUUGAUUCCCCUUUGAGCAUAGUUUAGACAGAUGGGUCCGUGAAACUGUCCGUGGACCUGGAUGUGGAUAGCUGCUCUUCACUCUGCGGGGAAGGCAGGCGUGCUGUCUUUAGUAAAGAGUAAUCCUUCUCCAGCCCAAACUCAGGGAGUGACAUGUCUUCCAGGGUCUUUUUGAAGAAAGCUCCCAACAGUUCUUUAAACAGAGGGCCCUCCUGCUCCACAUCACCACUCACAUAUAGUUUUUGGUCUUAAAUUGGAAACUUACUGGAGCUUAGAACCUAGUUACUGCUUCAUCUGAUAACAACUCGGCAUCAGAUUGGGGCAUGAGUACAAACUUAGCCAAAUGACCCUUAUUCUCUUAAACACAAUUUAAGGGCUGGCUGGAACCCCAAAGGUCUGGACUCCUGAAAGCAGCUCUUAACAGAAGUAACCCUGCAGCACUGUGCAGCCAGGGUCUGUCUGUUCAUUUGCCUAAUUUUGUUUGUGAGGAGUGUGAGUGACAGAGACAGAAACAUUUAUCAUUAUCAUUAUUAUUAAUUAUUAUUUUUCAGUUUUGGGGAUUGAAUCCAGGGACAUUUAAUCACAGAGCCUCAUCCCCAUUCCUUUUUUUUAAAAAAUAUAUUUUUGAGAUAGGUCUCGCUAAGAUGUUUAAGACCUCACUAAGUUGCUGAGGUUGGCCUUGAACUUGUGAUCCUCCUGCCUCAGCCUCCCGAGUUGCUGGGAUUAUAGGUGUGUACCACUGUGCAUGGCUAGUGGGAAAAACAUAUCUUUUGACAUAACCCUGUGUUUGUAUUUUAUGGAAGCAAUGCCAGGAUUACAUAAAAAUUUAUUCUUAAGAGGGUUAUUGGAGUAGUAUUUGGAUUCAUUAAUAUACAUCUUUGGGACUAUACAAUGACAUUGUAGAUGGCUACUGAAAAUAUGUGUGAAUUUGAAAGAAAAUAAUUCAUGGGGGCUGGAGUUGUGGUCAGUGGCAGAGC
rnacentral:lncRNA from 1 species